UUUGCUCCUUGAAAGAGAAUAUUUUUUUCCUCAGAAAGAACAUUUACAUUAUGAAUUUACUUUGCAUUGAGCUGCAUGCUUCAGUGCUCUGGAGGUCUUUAUAGAUUUGUGUCUUAAUGCGUUUAUGACUGACAGCACUCCUUCAUAAUAACAAAUCAUUAAGCAAACAUGACUUUAGUAGCCGUCAUUAUUUGGAUGCUUGCAACCUGCAUCUGGAGUUCUGUGGGGCAGAUUGUGACUCAAUCUGAAGAUCAAACAGUGAAUCCUGAUCAGACUGUCACUAUUCACUGUAAACACACACCAGCAAUAAAUUCUGCGAAUCCAAAAAAUACCUCUCAGUAUUGCAUGUCCUGGUACCAUCAGAUUCCUGGCGAAGUUCCUAAACUCCUGAUCUAUUUCACAUCAGACAGAGCUUCAGGUGUUUCUUCUAGAUUCAGUGGCAGUGAAAGUGGAAAUCACAUGGAUUUUACUCUGACCAUCAGUGGAGUCCAGCCUGAAGAUUCAGGAGUUUAUUACUGUCAGAGUCAACACAGUAAGACAGGAGACUCAAAGAACCCAGACUGGGCGUUCACACAGUGUAAAAUCAUCAUACAAAAACCUCCUUGUGUGAGACUGCAGCGCUGCAGCUUUGAGCUUCUGUAGAUGUUGAUGCUGAAGAUCAUUAUUCACCUCACUGACUUUACACACAAACACACACACAUACACAGAGAUUCUUUAAGGCUGAUGAACUGUUGAUGUCCAUUAAUGUCACACACUCCUCAACACGUUCUACAUAUUUUAUUAAUAACAAACAUCAGUAUUUCUCAGUCAGGUUUCCAUAUGAAUUACAAUCCAAUAAAACCCAUCAAACCAUGAUGAUAAAGGAAAGCUCAGUGUGGUCAAGGCUAAGGAAAUUAAAGUUAUUUUCACAAGUGCUUAAUGAAAAGGCAUCAACAUUUCACAGUAAUGAAAUGCUUAGUGGAGUUUAUAUAACCAUAAUACACCAAUCAAGCGUAACAUUAUGACAGGUGAAGUGAAUAACACUGAUUAUCUAUCUCUUCAUCACAGCACCUGUUAGUGGGUGGGAUAUAUUAGGCAGCAAGUGAACAUUUGUCCUCAAAGUUUAUGUGUUAGAAGCAGGAAAAUUGGGCAAGCAUAAGGAUUUGAGCGAGUUUGACGAGGGCCAAAUUGUGAUGGCUAGACAAGUGGUUUAGAGUAUCUCCAAAACUGCAGCUGCAGUGGUCAGUAUCUAUCAAAAAAGGUCCAAGGAAGGAACAGUGGUGAAGGCUUACUGAUGCAUGUAGGGAGCAAAAGCUGGCCCGUGUGAUCCGAUCCAACAGACAAGCUACUGUAGCUCAAAUUGCGCAAGAAGUUCUGAUGGAAAGGUGUCAGAAUUCACAGUGAAUCACAGUUUGUUGUAAAUGGGGCCGCAUAGCCUCAGACUUCAGGGUGCCCAUGCUGACCGCUGUUCACCGCCAAAAGUGCCAACAGUGGGCACGUGAGUAUUAGAAUGGGACCACAAAGCAAUGGAAGAAGGUGGCCUGGUCUGAUGAUCAUGUUUUCUUUUACAUCACAUGGAUGGCCGGAUGCAUGUGCGUUGCUUACCUGGGGAACACAUGGCACCAGGAAGCACUAUGGGAAGAAGGCAAGCUGGCAGAGGCAGUGUGAUGCUUUGGGUAAUUUUCUGCUGGAAAACCUUGGAUCCUGCCAUCCAUGUGGAUGUUACUUUGACACGUACCACCUACCUAAGCAUUGUUGCAGACUAUGCACAACCCCUUCAUUAAAAAGGUAUUCCCUGGUCGCCGUGGCCUCUUUCAGCAGGAUAAUGCACUCUGCCACAAAACAAAAAUGGUUCAGGAAUGGUUUGAGGAGCACAACGAGUUUAAGUUGUUGACUUGGCCUCCAAAUUCCCCAGAUUUCAAUCCAAUCAAAUAUCUGUGGGAUGUGAUGAACAAACAAAUUCGUUCCAUGGAGGACCCAGGAUUUGCAGCAUCUGCUGCUGCCAGAAACCACAACACACCUUCAGGGGUCCAGUGGAGUCCAUGACUUGAUGGGUCAUGGCAGUUUUGGCAGCAAAACGGGGGCCAACACAAUAUUAGGAAUGUAGUCAUAAUGUUAUGCUUGAUGGGUGUAUAAAGUAUAUGUGACACGUGGGUGUUCACACAGGUAGGAGGUAGCUUACAAAAACCUUCCACGGUCAGAUUACUGAAAAUCUUCUAAUGCAGUUGCAGGUGUAAAAAAACAGAACAAAAACAA